rnacentral:rRNA from 1 species
CAGUAGGGAGGAAGGUAGUGUAGUUAACACCUGCAUUAUUUGACGUUACCUACAGAAGAAGCACCGGCUAACUCCGUGCCAGCAGCCGCGGUAAUACGGAGGGUGCGAGCGUUAAUCGGAAUUACUGGGCGUAAAGCGCAUGCAGGCGGCCUGUUAAGUCAGAUGUGAAAGACCCGGGGCGUUAACCUCGGAAUUGCAUUUGUAAACUAGGCAGGCUAGAGUCUUGUAGAGGGGGGUAGGAAUUUCAGGUGUAGCGGUGAAAUAGCGUAGAGAUCUGAAGGAAUACCAGUGGCGAAGGCGGCCCCCUCGGACAAAGACUGACGCUCAGAUGCGAAAGCGUGGGGAGCAAACAGGAUUAGAUACCCUGGUAG